AACGUAGGACACAAGCGUUAUCCGGAGUUACUGGGCGUAAAGGGCGUGUAGGCGGAGAUGUAAGUCUAUUCUGAAAGCUCCUGGCUAAACUGGGAGAGGCGAAUGGAGACUGCAUAUCUAGAGGGCGGGAGAGGUCGGUGGAAUUCCCGGUGUAGUGGUGAAAUGCGUAGAGAUCGGGAGGAACACCUGUGGCGAAGGCGGCCGACUGGGCCGACCCUGACGCUGAGGCGCGAAGGCGUGGGGAGCGAACGGG
rnacentral:rRNA from 1 species